rnacentral:lncRNA from 12 species
CUCCUGGUUUUUAGCUGUGUUCUCAGAAUCCAUGUGUGGAGGCCGAGAAAAAUUAAGGCCAUCCCACCUCAAGUUUAGCAUUAGCACAAGUACAGCCAUAUUAGGCCCCUGUGAAUAAGAGCUGAACUUACGGGGAAAAACUGCAGAAUGUCCUCAAUGUCCUUGGCAGAGAAUCCCAUAUCAGAAAGACAACAGAGCUCACUUAAGUAGUAGAAAGUCCCAUAUUAGAAUGAGAACAGAGCUCAAUGCCCUUGAAAGCCCCAUAUGAAAAUGUAAACAGAACUUGAGAAAUUCCCCCACCCCUUCUGAAAAUCCCCUAGACCAGCCUAUAAAAAACCCAGCUGUAACCCACCUUGGGGUCCAAGUCCCUGCUCUGCUAUGUCGGUAUACUUGGACCCAAGCUCGAGCUUGUAAAUAAACGCUCAUGUGUUUGCAUCGGUGUUGGCUCCUUGGUGGUUUCUCGGAUUCACAAUCUUGGGCUCAACACAUGCAGUACUGACCAGUUCCACCCAAGCACUGGGAGGGGGUGUGGGCUGAUACAGGCUGAGAGAAGAUGACUAUAUACUUCUAAUUCAAGUAAGUUUUCAUUACAUGUUUAGAUGUGAAAUUAGAUGGUAAAUUAAUUUUAUUUUUUCAUGAGCUAUAUUUCAGGUUCUAAUAUCGAUUUCUGUAGAUAAUAUCGGAGAAGUGAAACUGUAAAAUGAGAACAAUUUUUAAAAUCGAUUGUUUUAAUAUGUUGCUUGAAAUUUACUAGCAGAAAAGAGACCAUUGCUAUAUGGGGAAACAAUUUUGUAUGUAAUAUAGAAAGUUUAUGAAAUAGUCUCACCUGAAGUGUGAGAUACCUCAGUUCAUUUGAAAAUAUGUUUUCUAUGUUUACCUCUGUUUAUAAAAACGAAAAAGUAAAAUCAUUCUUUCAGCUACACUUAAGAAAAAGAAAAAGCUGAGUCUGUGAAUACAAAAUAGAAUUUCAUAAGCAAAAAUGAAAGAAAAAAACAGAGUAUGUGUCUUCCUCAAUGUCAUCCUUAGGUUAGAACUAUGGAGGGAUCUCAGUUGCACAUUUAAAGAAAUAUAUUUCUGAGUAUAUGCAAUUGUGAAAGUCCAUUCACUUAUGUGCAUACAAAACAUGAGAGCUACAUAUUAUCUAAGCUUGUGAUAAUGAGCUAUACAAAAUACUUCAGUUGAAGUUUUUCAUAGCCACAUAUUUGUCAUUUCCUUCAUUAAAACUAUGAAAUGUCC